UUCCAAGCAAGGAGGUUGGGGGAAGUUUGUCCCAACUGCCAACAGUCAUUCUUUCUGAAGCAGAAGUAGGAGCAGGAAGUUUGACUAGUAGCUGCAAUUUCAACCAUACAGAGAUACAACUGGCCCUGGAAGACAACAGCUGUGGAGACACUACUUCAGCCAGAAUGCAGCCAGUCAACAGUCUGAAACAGGUUUUUCUGAACUCAUCCUAUUCACCAUUCUUAUUAUGCAACAGUUUUUUACUACAACCAUAUACCACAGCUUGUUUAGCCAUUCCCUAAUUGAUGGUCACUCUCUCAGUUUCUAGUUCUUUGCCAUUACAAAAAGAGCUGCUGCUUCAUGACUUCCAGGCUAAGAUGGCCUCAGUGUAGAAGCAAGGGACAUACUCUCCUCAACACCUACUGAUAUAAAGUGCAUCAAAGGAACAAAAACUGAAACCAGAGGAGUGAAGGGGCUCUUCUGUAGGGCACAGCCUUGAAGUUGGCAGGGUGUGAGUAUUUCCAUGCUAUAAGGGAAUAAAAUUACUCCUUCGAAAGCA
rnacentral:lncRNA from 1 species